GAUGAACGCUGGCGGCGUGCCUAAUACAUGCAAGUCGAGCGAACGGACGAGAAGCUUGCUUCUCUGAUGUUAGCGGCGGACGGGUGAGUAACACGUGGAUAACCUACCUAUAAGACUGGGAUAACUUCGGGAAACCGGAGCUAAUACCGGAUAAUAUUUUGAACCGCAUGGUUCAAAAGUGAAAGACGGUCUUGCUGUCACUUAUAGAUGGAUCCGCGCUGCAUUAGCUAGUUGGUAAGGUAACGGCUUACCAAGGCAACGAUGCAUAGCCGACCUGAGAGGGUGAUCGGCCACCCUGGAACUGAGACGCGGUCCAGACUCCUACGGGAGGCCGCAGUAGGGAAUCUUCCGCAAUGGGCGAAAGCCUGACGGAGCAACGCCGCGUGAGUGAUGAAGGUCUUCGGAUCGUAAAACUCUGUUAUUAGGGAAGAACAUAUGUGUAAGUAACUGUGCACAUCUUGACGGUACCUAAUCAGAAAGCCACGGCUAACUACGUG
rnacentral:rRNA from 1 species